rnacentral:rRNA from 1 species
UACGUAGGUGACAAGCGUUGUCCGGAUUUACUGGGCGUAAAGAGCGCGCAGGCGGUCGAUCAAGUCGGGCGUGAAAUCCCCAGGCUCAACCUGGGAACUGCGCUCGAAACUGUGGGUCUUGAGUGUCGGAGAGGAUGGCGGAAUUCCUGGUGUAGAGGUGAAAUUCGUAGAUAUCAGGAGGAACACCGGUGGCGAAGGCGGCCAUCUGGACGACAACUGACGCUGAGAUGCGAAAGCGUGGGGAGCAAACAGG